GUGGCCUAGUGGUUAAAGCGUCCGCCUUGGAUGCGGGAGGUCGUGGGUUCAAUUCCUGGUCGAUUCA